GUAGUAUCGGACAAAUCGGAUUGUUAUCCGAUCGGGUAUUGUAUACCCCAAUCAAUUAGU
rnacentral:ncRNA from 1 species